UAAAACGUAGGUACCGAGCGUUAUCCGGAUUUACUGGGCGUAAAGCGUGUGCAGGCGGUCGUGCAAGUCGGGCAUGAAAGCCCCUGGCUCAACUGGGGGAAGCUGUCUGAUACUGCAUGACUUGAGGGCUCGAGAGGGCGAUGGAAUUCCGCAUGUAGUGGUGAAAUGCGUAGAGAUGCGGAGGAACACCAGUGGCGAAAGCGGUCGCCUGGCGAGCCCCUGACGCUCAGACACGAAAGCUAGGGGAGCGAACGGGAUUAGAAACCCCGGUAGUCCUAGCUGUAAACGAUGUGGACUAGGCGUGCGCGGUCUCAACCCCGUGCGUGCCGCAGCUAACGCGCUAAGUCCACCGCCUGGGGACUACGGCCGCAAGGUUA
rnacentral:rRNA from 1 species